GGAAAGGUGCUCGAGUGGUUGAAGAGGCACGCCUGGAAAGCGUGUAAACGCCUAAAGCGUUUCGGGGGUUCGAAUCCCCCUCUUUCCGC
rnacentral:tRNA from 1 species